GCGGGCGUAACUCAGUGGUAGAGUGCAACCUUGCCAAGGUUGAAGUCGGGGGUUCAAAUCCCCUCGCCCGCUCCA
rnacentral:tRNA from 1 species